rnacentral:rRNA from 1 species
UACGGGGGGGGCAAGCGUUGUUCGGAAUUACUGGGCGUAAAGGGCUCGUAGGCGGCCAACUAAGUCAGACGUGAAAUCCCUCGGCUUAACCGGGGAACUGCGUCUGAUACUGGAUGGCUUGAGUUUGGGAGAGGGAUGCGGAAUUCCAGGUGUAGCGGUGAAAUGCGUAGAUAUCUGGAGGAACACCGGUGGCGAAGGCGGCGAUCCUGGACCAACACUGACGCUGAGGAGCGAAAGCCAGGGGAGCAAACGGGG